UGGAAACUCUUCCACCUUCUCUUGUGUGAAACAGAAAUCUCAGUGAAGGAGGAGGGGAAAGACAGAGAGGCACACAAAGACUCUGUGAGGCAGCAGUCACUCCCAGACAGGACUGUCAAGGAGAAAAGAGCUUUGAAGCAGACGCCAGAGAGUCAAACUACACAGCAGUAAACUACUGUGUGUGUGUCGCUGACAAAAAAUACCAAAGAGAAGAAAACAACAGACCUGAGGACUUCUAUAAGGAAAGAGAGGAGGGUAAAACUGAAAGAUUAAAAGAAGCUUAAAGGAAAAAAGGAAUAUUUGUUUUUGUGCAUCUUCAAAUUUUCCUCAAGUCCUUGUCUGCCAUCAUCAGUGUGUAUGGAAUAAUACUCCCAAUCCUAAUCUCAAACUGACUGCAAGCCUCAGGCAGCAUCUGAAUAGCCCUCCUCUGGGUGAUAAUCUGCAACAGCAAACAAACAAACUUCCAGGGGAGAGGCUCGACAGGUGACUCCUACUGAGAAACAAAUUUAAUGUUUAUCAUGUUUCCUUCUCGUCUGUUAAUUUAGUCAUUUGUGACUAAUAGUCUGGACUUUGCUGUCUAAGAAAACAGUAAAUAUUUAAAGCAUGGAUGCCAGAGAAGAGACGCUGAGCCUCCUGAACAAAAUAUGGUUGAAGUUGCAUGAUCUCCCCAAUGCCCACCCUUUGGAGCUGGGAGCCUUCUUCAUCAUCUUAAGCUUCAUCUUCAUGGUCCUGCUCAUGAUGGUGCUGACCUGCGUGAGUUGCUGCUGCUGCUGUUGUAAGACCAAACUGAAGGGACCCAACGUUUGAGUGAAUGUGGAAUGGAUCCCAACGCUGAACUUUUCAAUACAGCACCUAAGCACAAGAUGGUUUAAGGCAGUCCAAAAUGAAGAAAAGCCAAUUCUCCAGGAAUCCUCCCCACAUAUAAUACACACAUUAGACAGGGUGUGCAUUACAGAGGCCCAACCCUUAAACAACCAAGCAGCUAACAAAACACAGAGACAGAUAUUCUGACCAGCUGCCAAACACACCUGCUAAAGCUGCCAAGCCUUCAGGAGCAAUGAAAUUCCUCUGAGCAUCCCUGCACUCUGCAGAGCAACAGCACCACCUCUGGCCUGAGGAGACGGCAGGGCCCUGCUCAACUGUCUUAUAUACAAAUAUUUAGGAUCAAACCUGACUAUAGCACAUUAGAAAAAAGUGAUCAGCACAGUGUGAUAUGAGGAUGAACUUCAAAUUAUUAUUUUUUUUAACUCUAACUUUAUAUCAAGGUGAUUACAGUUGACCAUUAUGGUAAGUAAUAAUAUAAAAAGUAAGUACUUGUAAGACAAGGGGAACUUGUUUCAAAGCUCAACAUCAUCUUUGACACCAAAAAGGACAGAGCGAGUCUGCUCCCUGCUGUACAAAAACUGAAAUGACUGCUAUGUUUUACAGCCAGUUCAUGCUCAGUGAAGAAUACAGAAUGUAAUGGAAGUUACUUGUGUUUAUACCUGAAACUGUUUUAUAUAGUCAAACAUCAUGUGAUGAUGUAAAGCUUGAGCUCUAUAUUACACACACUGAUUUGUAUGUAAUAAACUUAAAGAAGCUUCUACAACA